AGAGCGAACGCUGGCGGCAGGCUUAACACAUGCAAGUCGAACGGGCAUAGCAAUAUGUCAGUGGCAGACGGGUGAGUAACGCGUGGGAACAUACCUUUUGGUUCGGAACAACUGAGGGAAACUUCAGCUAAUACCGGAUAAGCCCUUACGGGGAAAGAUUUAUCGCCGAAAGAUUGGCCCGCGUCUGAUUAGCUAGUUGGUGAGGUAAUGGCUCACCAAGGCGACGAUCAGUAGCUGGUCUGAGAGGAUGAUCAGCCACAUUGGGACUGAGACACGGCCCAAACUCCUACGGGAGGCAGCAGUGGGGAAUAUUGGACAAUGGGCGAAAGCCUGAUCCAGCCAUGCCGCGUGAGUGAUGAAGGCCCUAGGGUUGUAAAGCUCUUUUGUGCGGGAAGAUAAUGACGGUACCGCAAGAAUAAGCCCCGGCUAACUUCGCGCCAGCAGCCGC
rnacentral:rRNA from 1 species